rnacentral:rRNA from 1 species
AUUAAAACAGUUAUAGUUUAUUUGAUAGUGUUUUUACAUGGAUAACCGUGGUAAUUCUAGAGCUAAUACAUGCGCAAAUACCCGACUCACGAAGGGUAGCAUUUAUUAGUUUCAACCAUCACUUGGUGAAUCAUAGUAACUUAGCUGACCGCGCGCAAGCGUGGUAAAUCAUUCAAGUUUCUGCCCUAUCAGCUUUCGAUGGUAGUGUAUUGGACUACCAUGGCAGUCACGGGUAACGGAGAAUUAGGGUUCGAUUCCGGAGAGGGAGCCUGAGAAACGGCUACCACAUCUAAGGAAGGCAGCAGGCGCGUAAAUUACCCAAUCCCGAUUCGGGGAGGUAGUGACAAGAAAUAACAACUCGGGUGGUUUUCCACUUCGGGAUUGCAAUGAGACAAAUCUAAAAACCUUUACGAUUAACAAUUGGAGGGCAAGUCUGGUGCCAGCAGCCGCGGUAAUUCCAGCUCCAAUAGCGUAUACUUAAGUUGUUGCAGUUAAAAAGCUCGUAGUUGAAAGUCGAAUUAGUCUCGCUGAUGGCUCCAGUCGUCACGUUGGCUGAUUCUCCGUCUAUGAACUUCUUGCUCCUUAAAAAGAAUAAGAUGUUGAGUAGACACUUUACCUUGAAAAAAUUAGAGUGUUCCAGGCAGGUUUUCGCCGGAAUACAUUAGCAUGGAAUAAUGGAAUAGGACACUGGUCUGUUGUUGGUUUUUGGACCAUUGUAAUGAUUAAUAGGGACAGAUGGGGGCAUUAGUAUUUAAUUGUCAGAGGUGAAAUUCUUGGAUUUAUUAAAGACUAACUUAUGCGAAAGCAUUUGCCAAGGAUGUUUUCAUUAAUCAAGAACGAAAGUUAGGGGAUCAAAGACGAUCAGAUACCGUCGUAGUCUUAACUAUAAACUAUACCGACUCGGGAUCGGAAGGGUUAUUAAUUUGGCCCUUUCGGCACCGUAAGAGAAAUCAAAGUCUUUGGGUUCUGGGGGGAGUAUGGUCGCAAGGCUGAAACUUAAAGGAAUUGACGGAAGGGCACCACCAGGAGUGGAGCCUGCGGCUUAAUUUGACUCAACACGGGGAAACUUACCAGGUCAAAACAUGGAUGGGAUUGACAGAUUGAAAGCUCUUUCUUGAUUCUAUGGGUGGUGGUGCAUGGCCGUUCUUAGUUGGUGGAGUGAUUUGUCUGGUUAAUUCCGAUAACGAACGAGACCUUAACCUGCUAACUAGUCCAUUCCUGAAUAAGGGGUGCGACUUCUUAGAGGGACUAUGUAUGUUAAAUGCAUGGAAGUUUAAGGCAAUAACAGGUCUGUGAUGCCCCUAGAUGUCCUGGGCCGCACGCGCGCUACAAUGACACGUUCAGCGAGCUCAUUACCUGGCCCGAAAGGGUUCGGGAAAUCUUGUUAGGACGUGUCGUGCUGGGGAUAGAUCUUUGUAAUUAUAGAUCUUGAACGAGGAAUUCCUUGUAAGCACAGGUCAUCAGCCUGUGCUGAAUACGUCCCUGCCCUUUGUACACACCGCCCGUCGCUCCUACCGAUUUCGAGUGAUGUGGUGAACCAUCUGGACUGCGAGUAGGCUCGAACUACUUGCGGGAAGUUUUGUAAACCUUAUCACUUAGAGGAAGGAGAAGUCGUAACAAGGUUUCC